rnacentral:rRNA from 1 species
GAUGAACGCUAGCUACAGGCUUAACACAUGCCAGUCGAGGGACCGGCGCACGGGUGAGUAACACGUAUCCAACCUGCCCUUUACUCGGGUAUAGCCUUUCGAAAGAAAGAUUAAUACCCGAUAUAAAGGAUGGGGCUGCGUUCCAUUAGGUUGUUGGUGAGGUAACGGCUCACCAAGACUUCGAUGGAUAGGGGUGCUGAGAGGAAGGUCCCCCACAGUGGAACUGAGACACGGUCGAAACUCCGACGGUAGGCAGCAGUGAGGAAUAUUGGUCAAUGGGCGGUAGCCUGAACCAGCCAAGUAGCGUGAAGGAUGAAGGCUUAUGGGUCGUAAACUUCUUUUAUAUAAGAAUAGGUAUUAUAUGAAUAAGGAUCGGCUAACUCCGUGCCAGCAGCCGCGGUAAUUC